AGUGAACGCUGGCGGUAGGCCUAACACAUGCAAGUCGAACGGCAGCACAGAGGAGCUUGCUCCUUGGGUGGCGAGUGGCGGACGGGUGAGGAAUACAUCGGAAUCUACUCUGUCGUGGGGGAUAACGUAGGGAAACUUACGCUAAUACCGCAUACGACCUACGGGUGAAAGCAGGGGACCUUCGGGCCUUGCGCGAUUGAAUGAGCCGAUGUCGGAUUAGCUAGUUGGCGGGGUAAAGGCCCACCAAGGCGACGAUCCGUAGCUGGUCUGAGAGGAUGAUCCGCCACACUGGAACUGAGACACGGUCCAGACUCCUACGGGAGGCGGCAGUGGGGAAUAUUGGACAAUGGGCGCAAGCCUGAUCCAGCCAUACCGCGUGGGUGAAGAAGGCCUUCGGGUUGUAAAGCCCUUUUGUUGGGAAAGAAAUCCAGCUGGUUAAUACCCGGUUGGGUUGACGGUACCCAAAGAAUAAGCACCGGCUAACUUCGUGCCAGCAGCCGCAGUAA
rnacentral:rRNA from 1 species